GCGGAGGUUGGGCAUUUCAGCGACGGCGAGAGGCAAGUCACCGGUCAUAUUGUUGUUGUAGAUGUCGAGUACCUCGAGGUUCUUGAGCUGGGCUAGCUGCGAGGGGAAAGUAUCAUUAAACCCAUUGUUGGAGAGAUUGAGGUAGCGGAGGUCGGUGGCGGCGGAGAGCUGCGGCGGGAUGGGGCCAGAGAAUUUGUUGACGUCGAGGGAGAGGUUCUGGAGGUAGCGGAGGUGGGAGAUAUCCGGGGAGAGGGUUCCCGUGAGGGAGAGGCUAGAGAGGUCUAAUGAGGUCACGUGACGGCUGGAGAAGUCGCACGUGACUCCCGGCCAGGAGCAGAGGUCGGCGGAGGAGUUCCAGGCGGAAAGGAAGGAGUUUGGGUCGUCGGUGACGGCGGAUUUUAGGGAGAGUAGAGCUUGGGUUUCGGAUAAUACGCGGCCGGUGGAAGUUGGGAUGUGGAGGUGGAUGAGGAGGAAGAAGAAGAGGAGAGGGUAAAGGAGUCUCAUCGUAGAUUGAGAAGAACACCUCACACUGCCCGUCCGGCGGGGGGAUCUCCCCGCCGAAGAAGUUCCCUCCGAGGUGGAGGUGGCGGAGGUUGGGCAUUUCAGCGACGGCGAGAGGCAAGUCACCGGUCAUAUUGUUGUUGUAGAUGUCGAGUACCUCGAGGUUCUUGAGCUGGGCUAGCUGCGAGGGGAAAGUAUCAUUAAACCCAUUGUUGGAGAGAUUGAGGUAGCGGAGGUCGGUGGCGGCGGAGAGCUGCGGCGGGAUGGGGCCAGAGAAUUUGUUGACGUCGAGGGAGAGGUUCUGGAGGUAGCGGAGGUGGGAGAUAUCCGGGGAGAGGGUUCCCGUGAGGGAGAGGCUAGAGAGGUCUAAUGAGGUCACGUGACGGCUGGAGAAGUCGCACGUGACUCCCGGCCAGGAGCAGAGGUCGGCGGAGGAGUUCCAGGCGGAAAGGAAGGAGUUUGGGUCGUCGGUGACGGCGGAUUUUAGGGAGAGUAGAGCUUGGGUUUCGGAUAAUACGCGGCCGGUGGAAGUUGGGAUGUGGAGGUGGAUGAGGAGGAAGAAGAAGAGGAGAGGGUAAAGGAGUCUCAUCGUAGAUUGAGAAGAACUAAUCGCCGCCGGAGACGGCGGAGGGAGGAGGAGGAGGAGGAGGAAGAGGAUGAUGAAGAAGGUAAGUGAGAAGAGUGAGG
rnacentral:lncRNA from 1 species